UACGGAGGGUGCAAGCGUUAAUCGGAAUUACUGGGCGUAAAGCGCACGCAGGCGGUCUGUCAAGUCGGAUGUGAAAUCCCCGGGCUCAACCUGGGAACUGCAUCCGAAACUGGGAGACUUGAGUGCAGAAGAGGAAAGUGGAAUUCCAUGUGUAGCGGUGAAAUGCGUAGAGAUCUGGAGGAAUACCGGUGGCGAAGGCGGCCCCCUGGACAAAGACUGACGCUCAGGUGCAAAAGCGUGGGGAGCAAACAGG
rnacentral:misc_RNA from 1 species